GCCGGAUUCCCCACCACCCACCCCAAACCCUAGGUUUCCCAUGGUGCAAGCCGCACCCAGCUCCGCCACCGCCACCGCCACCGCCGCCCCCGUCCCCGACGCCGACCCCGCCACCCCGCCGUCCCGUCUCCUCUCGAAACAUCGCCCGCGCCGCCGUGCAGCGCCCCCCCGCCCGACCUCGCCGCACCCCGCGCCCACGCGCGGCCUGCCCGAUCUGAACCGCUGCCACUGCUGCUCCGUUCGCUUCCAGCAGCCGGCGCCGGGCGCCAAGCGACGUCCACUCCGUCCCCUCCGCUCCCUCUGGCGCGUCGUCCUCCUCUGCUCUGAAUGUAUCUCCCUCCUUCGCUCUGGCGCUGUCUGCUCCUACUGCCUCAACCUCGACAACCUGCCGCACGAUGACUCGGUCACCUGCCGCAGCUGCAACUGCUGCGUCCACCACCACUGCAUCCCCGCUGAGCACCGUACUGCCCUGAUCCGGCCUGUAGAUUUGGAGAAUUUCGUCUGCGUCGAUUGCUGCCCCACAGUGAAGGUGGGUAGCAAGAAUGAGGGCGCCGAAUCCGUUCCUAAGCUGGAGUUGGUCAUCAGAGAGCCUAGUCCUGCAGUGCGGAGGAAGGGGGGGCCUGUCGCUGCUGCUAAGUUGAAUUCGCCGAGGAAGGUUGUGGAGGAGGUGAGGCCAGCUUGGAAGGAUGCGAUGGCCCUCGUUCCUGUAGGCGAGGGGUCAGAGAGCAAGGGUCCCGGUGAUCUGGACCUGCCAGAUGAGGCAUUGGCGCUGCAGCUUCAUUUGGCGAUCAACGGAUCACCGAGGAUUUCACGUUCUGGCAGUGCACCUGUGGCUGUCUUGGCAGGGCAGGGCAAUAGACAGGGCAAGAGGCAGAACGGAUUGGUUUAUGGGAGGAAGGUUGAUGAGGAUCUGGGACUUUGUGUAACCAAUAUGAUGGAUCAUCUGGACUAUCUCGAGACCGGAGCAGAGAUGGGAAGCAACUGGAAUGCUAGUCAGGCUUUAGGAUCUGAGGCUUUAGGAUCUGAUCCCACAGUCCCUGUGGUUCUUGCACUGGAGUGUAAAGGUAAACGCCCUCAGGAGAGUCCCAGAGGUAAAAGGAAAGGUCUUCCUGAGACUAAACAACAUAAUAGUUUGGUGGAUUGGCAUAAGGUGGAUCGGUAUGAGAAGAAAUAUAGCAAGAGGAAGUCAAGUAAGCAGACAGAUGUUGAAAGCAAUGGAAACAAGACCUUGCCCAAUGGAAAGGACAUGCAUGUUGGUGAAGGUGGUGAGGGCAUAACUCCUAUGACAUAGACUGCGGCUUCUUUUUGGAGGUAAUUCGUGAGAACAGUAGUUUGCAUCCAGCAAUACAGGAUUGAAGCUAGCAACUUGUUGGUGGCUUUGAUAGGAACUACAAUCAAAGUUAUAGCUCGUCGCCAUGUCUUCUUCCUGCAACUCAGCUUGUCACCGCCAUUUCCAAUCUUAGAUUGGCAAAUAGUUGGGGUCAAGGAAAUGCGCCACCACAGCCAGGCGUUUCACAAAUCGAAAGAUUUACCUGCCCAGCCUUGUUUGGAUACAUAUACCGGUUGCAAAGUUUUAUUACCAAAUAAAUUCCAGAUGGAAAAGGUGUAAAGAGGCAGCCUAUAUGCACGCUUUGCAGGCAGCACAUGGUGAGAAGAUGACUUGGUAUCAUCAAAGGUGUGAGGACGUUGACGGGGUUUGGACUUGCAGAGGAUGGCAUUACAGUGGAGGCAGCCUAUAUGCACGCUUUGCAGGCAGCACAUGGUGAGAAGAUGACCUGGUAUCAUCAAAGGUGUGAGGACGUUGACGGGGUUUGGACUUGCAGAGGAUGGCAUUACAGUGGAUGCAGAUAAGAUGAUAAAAGGGCAAGCACAAAGCAGUCAGUGCCAUCAGGAAUUGCCAGCCCUUGCCUCAUUUGCUGUGACUGCAGUCUGUAGGAAUUUCCUACUCAUCUGGAUAAGAGGGCCAUCAAAAUCACGAUAUACAUAUCCGUGUCUGGUGAAUUUGAAAUUGUGAGUCUUACCAGCAGCACCGCCUGGACCUUUUAUAUCCGUCCAGGUUCAGAACUGGACAUGAGGUUCAUCCAAACGUUUGGGAACCGCUGAAGGUUAAUCAAAAUGGUUUCUGCAAAAAAGUUAACUGGUGGCGAGAAUAAUAAAAAUGCUGAAAUGCAAAGUCUCGUUUGGCACAUAAGUCGGCUAUCCAAAUAACAGAGGCAAUAUUACUGCAUGAUGAUUUGAUUUGAUUCCCAAUCUUCAGACAUGGAGUAAUCUCGUUUUGUGGUUCUGAUACCGGACGAGGUUCUCAGUUUGGACUAAUGUGAGCAGUUUGGACGAGGAUCUCAGUUUGGGCUAAUGUGUUUGGGCUAAUCUCGCUUCUUUCCGCAUUGAUGGAUUUUCAGUUCUCCACUAAUGUGAGCAAAUCAGAAUAGGCUAGUUCACUUCAGAAUGCUGGGAAAUAUUAGCAACCCUGCUAUUACCAUCUACAGUAUUAGGCUAAUUAUGGGUCACUUGCUGUAAGCAUGUGUAAUUGGUGCCUGAACCCUUCUCCUUUGAAGUGCUUCUAGCUUGUUCCUUUAAUUCUUCAUUCUUUUUGUGG